rnacentral:rRNA from 1 species
AGUGAACGCUGGCGGUAGGCCUAACACAUGCAAGUCGAACGGCAGCACAGUAAGAGCUUGCUCUUACGGGUGGCGAGUGGCGGACGGGUGAGGAAUACAUCGGAAUCUACUUUUUCGUGGGGGAUAACGUAGGGAAACUUACGCUAAUACCGCAUACGACCUACGGGUGAAAGCAGGGGAUCUUCGGACCUUGCGCGAUUGAAUGAGCCGAUGUCGGAUUAGCUAGUUGGCGGGGUAAAGGCCCACCAAGGCGACGAUCCGUAGCUGGUCUGAGAGGGUGAUCAGCCACACUGGAAGUGAGACACGGUCCAGACUCCUACGGGAGGCCGCAGUGGGGAAUAUUGGACAAUGGGGGCAAGCCUGAUCCAGCCAUACCGCGUGGGUGAAGAAGGCCUUAGGGUUGUAAAGCCCUUUUGUUGGGAAAGAAAAGCAGCAGGUUAAUACCCCGCUGUUCUGACGGUACCCAAAGAAUAAGCACCGGCUAACUUCGUG